AUGGAGGGGGAUAACUACUGGAAACGGUAGCUAAUACCGCAUAACGUCGCAAGACCAAAGAGGGGGACCUUCGGGCCUCUUGCCAUCGGAUGUGCCCAGAUGGGAUUAGCUAGUAGGUGGGGUAACGGCUCACCUAGGCGACGAUCCCUAGCUGGUCUGAGAGGAUGACCAGCCACACUGGAACUGAGACACGGUCCAGACUCCUACGGGAGGCAGCAGUGGGGAAUAUUGCACAAUGGGCGCAAG
rnacentral:rRNA from 1 species